AGCGGCGUCGGAGCAGCGUCGGAGCAGCGUCGUCGGAGGAGGAGGAGGAGCAAAAUUUGGUUUAAUUUGGUCGGAGGAGGAGCAGUUCGUCUUCCUCUUCUCCAAUGCUUCUCAAGCACCACCACCCUCAUUCUCGAACCUCUCUCCAACCUCCCAGCACUUCUCACAGGAAUGAUGAUUUACCUGUACAUGGGGUUUCGGAGAUAAUUGUGGGUGUAUAGGGAGAAGGCCAAUUGGGUCGAAUGCUAUGUCAAGCUGCGUCUCAAUUGGCAAUUAAGGUGAUUGUAUUGGACCUAAUGGAGAAUUGCCCUGCAAGUUCACUAUCACAUUAUCAUAUGGUGGGGAGUUAUGAUGAUAGUGCCAUGGUCCAAGAAUUUGCCAAAAGGUGUGGAGUGUUGACUGUUGAAAUUGAGCAUGUUGAUGUGGUGACAUUAGAGAAGUUAGAACAACAAUGGGUGGAUUGUCAACCCAAGGCCUCUACUAUCUGAAUUAUACAGGAUAAAUUUCUCCAAAAAGUUCAUUUUCGCGUCAUGGCAUUCCACGUCCUGAUUUUAUGCAGAUAUAUGAUUUUGAAAGUGCGAAGAGAGCUGGCGAACUAUUUGGCUAUCCUCUAAUGAUAAAGAGCAGGAGGCUUGCUUAUGAUGGGCAUGGAAACGCUGCUGCUAAGAGUGAAGAGGAGACCGCUUCUGCAGCAAAUGGUAAGAUGUUCAUUUCUAUAAAUUACUUGAACCAAUGAAUCAUAAUAAUUAGUAGAUUUUUUCCAAUGAGCCGUAUACCAUGCAAUUGCUUUCAUCAAUCAAAUUUGUCACCUUCUGAAUUUUUUUUCUUCUUUUUUACUUUUUAUGAGUACACCAUCUAAAUCUUUAAGCAUUAAUAUUUUUUAGUAUUGGGGAAGUUUUCUUUAGCUCACACAUAAACAUUUUAACGGAUUUAGUCAAUGCAACUAUGUUCAUAUAGAAAAUAUUAAGUGAUCACCAUCAACAUAUGUUUCAUAACAAGCUAGUCUUCAAAACCCAUCAUAGUCUGCCCAGGGGGUCAUUAUCAAAUAUUUAAAAUGUUUCAUUACCUAGUCGAUACUUGUGUUUGUUAAAAAAUUGCCAUUGCAUAUGUUGCUUCACCAUCGUGUUUCAUAAAUUAUGGUUGCUCUUGUGCUGUUUCAUGGAGCUUCCCUUUAACUUCAAUCUAAUAUGCUGCAAUUAAUGUGGAAACCAAAUUCACCUUUAUUAACUGUGAAGAAGGUAUGCAAUCAAAAGAAAAAUUUCAAAAUAUUUUGUGAACAACUAUAGUUUUUGGUCUAAAUUUGUAAAUUAAUUGCCAAAUGAAGCUAAACGGUAGGCUCCUGACAAAUAAAAGUUUCAAAAUAGAAUUAGUUCACAAAUGGUUCCUAGGUUUUCUCUUUUUUCCUUUUUGUUUAUGUGGUUUAUUUGCAUACAUAGAUAUGAUUAAUGUUAUAUCAUAUUUUCUUUUUUGGUCAUAAUUUGGUCAAAUAAUUCAGUGGAUGUUGACCUCAUUUGUCAAUUUUUGCUGUCUCAUUGUCUACGCUGUACUGAAUCUUUCAUGAGAGAAAAUGUAAUGGAAGAGAUGCGGCAAUUGCAACCUGAUGAUGAAAAUAAACAAAAAAUGCUGGACAUACUCAAACGAUUCCAUUCAGAAGAAGAGAUGGAUAACAUGGAUGAGGAUGCAGUUAUCUCUGCUUCCAUUUGCUUGAGGGGCAUGAGAGGAGAUUGGAGAGCAUUGCCUACUGUGGGUAUUUUGAUGAUGGAUGGCCUUGGACCCACUCUAACUGCUAUGUGACCUUGGAAUCAUCUCUUUUGGUUCAGUUCAGUUGUUAUCAUUCUGUUCCUAGUUUGACUAUGUAGCAAGUACCUGAAGGAGUUUUCAUUGUUUGAAUAUAAUUGUUUUCCUUCUUAAACUUUCAUUUUGAGGGUCUAGUCCUAUUUUGGUGUUUUUUCUCUUUUUUUGGUACAUAGUCUUUCUGUUAUUUUUUACA